UGAUAGCUGUGAAGCGUGAGGUUGCUGUUUGCCAGUGAUGACAGACAGGUUUUCCGUGGAGCGAAUGUCAAGUUAGAAAACUGACGGCAA
rnacentral:ncRNA from 1 species